rnacentral:rRNA from 1 species
UACGUAGGUUGCAAGCGUUAUCCGGAAUUAUUGGGCGUAAAGAGCGCGCAGGUGGUUGAUUAAGUCUGAUGUAAAAGCCCACGGCUUAACCGUGGAGGGUCAUUGGAAACUGGUCAACUUGAGUGCAGAAGAGGGAAGUGGAAUUCCAUGUGUAGCGGUGAAAUGCGUAGAGAUAUGGAGGAACACCAGUGGCGAAGGCGGCUUCCUGGUCUGUAACUGACACUGAGGCGCGAAAGCGUGGGGAGCAAACUGG